GAUGAACGCUGGCGGCGUGCUUAACACAUGCAAGUCGAACGAAGCACUUAAGAUUGAUUCUUCGGAUGACGUCUUUUGUGACUUAGUGGCGGACGGGUGAGUAACGCGUGGGUAACCUGCCUCACACAGGGGGAUAACAGUUAGAAAUGACUGCUAAUACCGCAUAACCCGAUAGGAUCGCAUGAUCCAGACGGAAAAGAUUUAUCGGUGUGAGAUGGACCCGCGUCUGAUUAGCUAGUUGGUGAGGUAACGGCCCACCAAGGCGACGAUCAGUAGCCGGCCUGAGAGGGUGAACGGCCACAUUGGGACUGAGACACGGCCCAAACUCCUACGGGAAGCGGCAGUGGGGAAUAUUGCACAAUGGGGGAAACCCUGAUGCAGCGACGCCGCGUGAGUGAAGAAGUAUUUCGGUAUGUAAAGCUCUAUCAGCAGGGAAGAAAAUGACGGUACCUGACGAAGAAGCCCCGGCUAACUACGUG
rnacentral:rRNA from 1 species